UAAAAUAUCUGUCAAGACUAGAAUACUACUAUCUGUAUAUGCACUCUUCAUAGGAGUAAUACACAUAUAUUGUACAACAUAUUCCUUCCACCCCUACCGUAAAUCUCAACGUGGUGACACAUAAAUAUAUAUUACCCCUACAAGUCAACAAAAGGGGUGGCAUCUUAUUUAUAACUAUAAUAUAAGGCAUAAUAAACAAUAAUUUGAUGACCAAACAAAUAAUAAUAAAGAUCUAUAUGGUAGGCCCUCUCAAGCUUGGCACAUACAAUCAGGAGCAGGAUAUGUAUAGAGGGAUUGCU
rnacentral:lncRNA from 1 species